AGGUGAUGGAGUUGACAACCAACUNGUUCAGACUAGUUGCCUUUAGAUGCUAAAAACCAUCCCUUUUUAUAUCUAUGUGAUUAGCCCAGGGAAACUGAGGCACAGACAUGGAUAAUACCAGAGCCGAGUUCCUGUAGCCCAGCUCCCUAGGGAAAAUGAAACCUACACAGUUGUGGUUUGAAUAGGCUUGGCCCAUGGGAAGUGGCCUUAAUGGCAGGUGUGGCCUUAUUAGAGGAGGUGUACCUUGUUAGAGGAAGCGUGUCACUUGGAGGCUAGGCUUUGAGGUCUCAUACGUAUGCUCAAGUCUGGCCAGUGUGGUCCUGGCUGUCUGCAGAACGCGGUCUCCUGCUGCCUUCCGAUCAAGGUGUAGAACCCUCAGCUCCUUCUCCAGCACCACGUCUGCCUGCGUGAUGCCUUGCUUCUUUCCGUGACGAUAAUGAACUGUGCCUCUGAAACGGUAAGUCAGCCCCAAUUACAUAUAGGAUUGCCUGAACUUUGAAACAAUCUUCCUGCCUCAGCCUCCCAAUGGUAUUACAGGCAUGAAUCACAACACGCAAUUUAAAUCUUAUCAUGACUUAUAAGAAGACAGAAAAAUCAGAGUUGCUCUGCCUACUUCACAGAGCCCUACAAUCUAACCUCUUUCGUUCCGUAAGCGGCCCUACUCCGUCCUCCUGGAACUGGCUUGAGGAAUGCUGCAGGCUCUCACGGGCACACUCUCCUUGGUUAAUCCCUUCAGCCUGGUUGCCUUCCCUCCCCAUGUCCAUGUGACCCAAAAUUUCUCAUCCUGCUCUCAAACACCACCACCUAGUAAGGGCUCCCCCGACCUGGCCCCGGUUUAAAUAUUAGGAAAGGGUCACUUUCUCCCCUGCCACAGACAACCAAACCACCACAUGCUUGUCACUUACCACCUGACUGUGUAGGUGAAUAGAUGUCGUCCCAACCUUUCUCCGAGCCUCAGUUUCCCCACCCGCACAAUGCACCUGAGACACAGAAUUCCCCGAGCUGUGGCUCUCCUCACUCCUAACACUGAGAACCCUUUAAUACAUUUCCUUGUGUUGUGGUGACCCCCCCACCACCAUAAAAUUAUUUUCAUUGAUACUUUAAAACUGUAAUUUUUCUAUUGUUAUGAAUAGUAAUGUAAGCAUUUGUGCUCCCCAGUGAUCUUAGAUGACCCCGUGGAAGAGUCAUUCUACCCCAAAGGGGUCCCCACCACAAGUUAAGAAUUUCUGCUAUAAAGGAACGGCAAAGAACCAGUGAAUUACACUUUGGGUAGACUUUCAGGCCAGCCUCUGGGAGGUGCUAAAGCUAGGUGACAGGAACAUAAAUUCUGAAACUUGUGUGUGUGUGUGUGUGUGUGUGUGUGUGUGUGCCCUGAGUCGGGGUGCUGAGAUAGGCUGGUGGCUUUAGUGUUCCUGGACCCAUUUCUCACCAGGAUUCUCCCCUCACCCAAUGGAUUCUUCGAUGUGCACACUAUGUCUUAGGAAAGAUGUGUUAGAAAGCAUCUUUAGAAAACGUUAUUUUAAAAAAAAACAACUAUUUUUUCAUGCAGGUGCAAGGACAACAUGCAGAGUUGGCUCUGUCCUUCUACCAUGUCCGUUGGAGGAAUCAACUCUACCCUCUAGGCCACCUUGCCAUUCGCUGGCCUGGGUCUCUCACUACCUCAGCCAGACUGGCCUCUGAUGCUGCUGAGAUCUGCCUACUUCUGCCUCCUGGAUGCAGAGGACAAUUUUUGGAAGUUAGCUCUCUCCUUGCAUCUUGUGGAUUCCAGGGAUUGAACUCGGGUCGUCAGGCUUGGCUGCAAGUGACUUACUUAGGUGUCUCCCAGACCCUCUCGGUUUGAUUAGUUAGAUGCUGCACUGCGUGCCCGGCUUUCACACUGUGCAGAGCAGUGUCUAUAACUCCUUGGCGCCUCACCUCGUAUCUAUCUCCUACAAUGAUAUGUACAUCAAGAGGCAAGUGACAGGCUGCUGAGAUGGCUGAUUGGGUAAGAGCACUGACUCUUCUUCUGAAGGUCCUGAGUUCAAAUCCCAGCAACCACAUGGUGGUUCACAACCAUCCUUAAUGAGAUCUGACGCCCUCUUCUGGAAUGUCUGAAGAC
ensembl:lincRNA